UUCGCUUUUGGGAUUUAUCCCUUUUUACUUUGAGAAAAUUAGAGUGUUUCAAGCAGACUUUUGUCUUGAAUACUUCAGCAUGGAAUAAUAGAGUAGGACUUUGGUUCUAUUUUGUUGGUUUUUGAACCUUAGUAAUGGUUAAUAGGAACGGUUGGGGGCAUUCGUAUUUAACUGUCAGAGGUGAAAUUCUUAGAUUUGUUAAAGACGAACUACUGCGAAAGCAUUUGCCAAGGACGUUUCCAUUAAUCAAGAACGAAAGUUAGGGGAUCGAAGACGAUCAGAUACCGUCGUAGUCCUAA
rnacentral:rRNA from 1 species